GACGAACGCUGGCGGCGUGCCUAAUACAUGCAAGUCGAACGAGAGCGCCCGGUGCUUGCACUGUUCAAUCUAGUGGCGAACGGGUGAGUAACACGUGGGUAACCUGCCCAUCAGAGGGGGAUAACAUCCGGAAACGGAUGCUAAAACCGCAUAGGUCUUCGAGCCGCAUGGCUUGAAGGGGAAAAGAGGCGCAUGCUUCUGCUGAUGGAUGGUCCCGCGGUGCAUUAGCUAGUUGGUGAGGUAACGGCUCACCAAGGCCGUGAUGCAUAGCCGACCUGAGGGGGUGAUCGGCCACAUUGGGACUGAGACACGGCCAAAACUCCUACGAGAGGCAGCAGUAGGGAAUCUUACGCAAUGGACGCAAGUCUGACGGAGCAACGCCGCGUGAGUGAAGAAGGUUUUCCGAUCGUAAAACUCUGUUGUUAGAGAAGAACAAGUGCUAGAGUAACUGUUAGCGCCUUGACGGUAUCUAACCAGAAAGCCACGGCUAACUACGUG
rnacentral:rRNA from 1 species